AAUGAGAAAGGUGGAGCGGCGCGGUACGUAAACUUACCUCAUGGGAGACCUCGUAUCAAAACCAACGACAGCCCAUCUCCGCAGCCAUCUCCAGGACCCCGGGGAUGACACUCAGCUGGUCCAACUCAUCUUACGACAGAAGGGGAUAUAAAUAGCUGAGAUGAGGGGUCUGUAUCCUGCGCCGGAACCUGACACAGAGGGGUGGGAUGAACACCGACUGGAACUGAAGACGGGCCUGGAGCUGGGCUCACAGG